UCGAACGGGGUUAAGUGAAAUUUCGGAUGGACCUUAACUAGUGGCGGACGGGUGAGUAACGCGUGGAUAACCUGCCUCACACAGGGGGAUAGCAGCUGGAAACGGCUGGUAAUACCGCAUAAGACCACGGCCCCGCAUGGGGUUGUAGUAAAAGAUUUUAUCGGUGUGAAGAUGGAUCCGCGUCUGAUUAGCCAGUUGGCGGGGUAACGCCCACAAAGCGACGAUCAGUAGCCGGCCUGAGAGGGUGAACGGCCACAUUGGGACUGAGACACGGCCCAAACUCCUACGGGAGGCAGCAGUGGGGAAUAUUGCACAAUGGGCGCAAGCCUGAUGCAGCAACGCCGCGUGAGUGAAGAAGUAUUUCGGUAUGUAAAGCUUCUAUCAGCAGGGAAGAAAGGCUCUUCGGAGAGAUGACGGUACCUGACUAAGAAGCCCCGGCUAACUACGUGCCAGCCGCUGC
rnacentral:rRNA from 1 species